rnacentral:rRNA from 1 species
GACGGAAGGUGCAAGCGUUGCUCGGAAUCACUGGGCGUAAAGGGUGCGUAGGCGGCUUGGUGGGUCUGGUGUGAAAGCCCCGGGCUCAGCCCGGGAAGGGCACUAGAAACUGCCGAGCUGGAGUGCCGGAGGGGAGAGUGGAAUUCCUGGUGUAGCGGUGAAAUGCGUAGAUAUCUGGAGGAACACCGGUGGCGAAGGCGGCGUUCUGGACUGCAACUGACACUGAGGAACGAAAGCCAGGGGAGCAAACGGG